CCGCUGGCGGCCGCCAGCACGGCGCGGAGGUGGGCUUACGGCGGCGGCGCAGGAGAGGUCACCGCGGUGGCAUUCCUCUCCGCGCUGUUUACGUGACUUAAUGUACUCGCUGCGCCGCGGCCUGUUAUCUAGGCCACCCAAUGACCGACGAAAGAUCUUCCCUCCCUGCUUCUCCCGUGGCCGCUUUAAACCAAAUAAAUUUAGCUAUUAAGGGCCAAGAUGUCUGACAAAA